rnacentral:rRNA from 1 species
UACGUAGGUGGCAAGCGUUAUCCGGAAUUAUUGGGCGUAAAGAGCUCGUAGGCGGCUCAGUAAGUCAGGUGUGAAACCUCCAGGCUCAACCUGGAGACGCCACCUGAUACUGCUGUGGCUUGAGUCCGGUAGGGGAGUGUGGAAUUCCUGGUGUAGCGGUGAAAUGCGCAGAUAUCAGGAGGAACACCAGCGGCGAAGGCGGCACUCUGGGCCGGUACUGACGCUGAGGAGCGAAAGCGUGGGUAGCAAACAGG